GAGAAGGAAGUUCUGGGAAGGAGAAGAAAGCUCAAAGGUUCAAAGUUCAAAUUGGCAGGUAAAACCGUCAAAAUUGGUAAAGUUUAUCUUUUAUACUGACGGUUACACGAGUUACGAAGGCGGCACAUUAAAUGUUAGUAAUGAUGAGAAUUCGAAUGGGAAGCGUCCAGAUCAAUUCUUAGACAUUUUAUCAGAUUGGGCUUCUCGGUUGGAUUUCCGGUUUUUAGACCAUCUUGUUCAAUUUCAAUCCUUUAUUGACUGGGCCUUUUACUCUGGACAUUCAGCCAUUCCCUAUCUCAUCUUAUGGACCAAAUUGGGUAUGUCUCAAUUACUUCCUGUUAUGGGCCUUUAGUAAAUUCUAAUAUCAUGGACCAUUUAUAGUUUUCUAUUAAACAUUCUGUUCAACAAAAAACUAGGGGGCAAUGUUGGGUCAUGAUAUUUCCCCUCUUUGGGCCGAG
rnacentral:lncRNA from 1 species